rnacentral:lncRNA from 1 species
CUUACGUCAGGAGAAGCAAUGCGCCGUGCUGAGCACGCCUCUCCGCGGCGUGGCCAGGAGCGUGCUGGAGGCGUUGCGCUCAGGGGGCUCGUGGCGAUAUCUUGCGAAACGCGGCAAGGGACCUGUAAUGAGAUCUGCUGAGUAAUAUGCGCAAUAAUGUCUUGCCGUUCCUGGGGGCGCCCCGCUCUGCGGAGAGGCGCGAGGGAGCUGCUGCGGGGAACGUGCUGAAGCAUCGUCCUCUUUUAACAAACGUUGCUGCUGUGACACUUUUUUCUGAAAGCAGGAGGCUGGGCUUCUGUGUCUCAACAGCGGAUGGGAAAAAUCUGGAGGAGCUUCCAUUAGUGGACAUCAGCAACAGAUAUUGGCUCUGCUGAAGAUACUGUGAACUCUUUCGCAGCUAGUACAGACAGCUUGUGUUUUAACGGCUACGAGGAGAUGGCAGGCCUAGCUUGAACAAAGCCAUAUGUCGUACUCACAAGGGAGAAGAAGUUCAGUUUGAGUCUGGAAGCCUCUGACAAUGUGGAGAAAAUUGACCUCCAGAGCCGUGAAGCUUCAUGAAACCUGGAGGAAAGCAGUGACAUCAUCUAUUUUAUCAAAUUUGGUUAAAUCCAGUGAAAGACUUCAAAAAGGAAGACAAGAAGACUGCGGGAGGGAGAGUGAGCUGCCUGUGCAACUGUGA